GGCUCAGUGGUCUAAUGGGGAGGACACCCACUAGAUAAGGCUACAUCCUGCGAGGUAAAAGCAGGGUUGAGGUAUGAGGUGGGGAAUCUGGGUUCAAGUCCCAGCCGAGCCA